GUACACGCUGUGACUAGCAUAUCAAUAAGCGGAGGAAAAGAAACUAACAAGGAUUCCCCUAGUAACGGCGAGUGAAGCGGGAAGAGCUCAAAUUUGAAAUCUUAAAGGGUUUCCCUUUACGAAUUGUAGUUUAAAGAAGUGUUUUCUGUUGAGGUUUUGGUAAAAGUUCUUUGGAAUAGGACAUCAUAGAGGGUGAGAAUCCCGUAUUUGACCUUUACUUUCAACUUUGUGAUACACUUUCAAAGAGUCGGAUUGUUUGGGAAUGCAGUCCAAAAUGGGUGGUAAAUUUCAUCUAAAGCUAAAUAUUGGCGAGAGACCGAUAGCGAACAAGUACCGUGAGGGAAAGAUGAAAAGAACUUUGAAAAGAGAGUUAAACAGUACGUGAAAUUGUCAAAAGGGAAGCGUUUGACACCAGUGUUGUUUUUCUGAAAAUCAAUUAAAGAACUGUUUAUGCUAAGCUGUUUAGACUUUAUCAGCUAUCUGUUUAGUUUUGAGCUUUUCUUUAAUGCACUUUUCAGUUAACAAGUCAACAUCAAUUUCUUUUGCUGUAAAAAAGCUUGAGGAAGGUGGCUUGAGAUUCGUCUUAAGUGUUUAUAGCCUCUUGCCUAUGCAGUCGGAGAGAUUGAGGUCUGCAGCGUAGAUCCUCCGGGGCUAAAUGCAUUUGUGCUAAGUUAUAGCAUUUUAUAGACAACUUGUUGACUAUGAUUUGUCUUGUAGCUUACUCGCUUAUGUUAUUUUACCUACGCUUAGGAUGUUGACUGAUAUGUAGUCGUA
rnacentral:rRNA from 1 species